rnacentral:tRNA from 1 species
GUGUAUAUAGCUCAGUUGGUUUAGAGCGCCAGAUUGUGGCUCUGGAGGUCACCGAUUCGAAUUCGGUUAUACACC